rnacentral:rRNA from 1 species
CCCUUAGAUGUUCUGGGCCGCACGCGCGCUACACUGAUGAAUGCAACGAGCUCUACCCUUGACCGAAAGGCCCGGGUAAACUUGUGAAACUUCAUCGUGAUGGGGAUAGAUUAUUGCAAUUAUUAAUCUUCAACGAGGAAUUCCUAGUAAGCGCGAGUCAUCAGCUCGCGUUGAUUACGUCCCUGCCCUUUGUACACACCGCCCGUCGCUCCUACCGAUUGAAUGGUCCGGUGAAAUCUUCGGAUUGCUGACCAAGAUCCAGCAAUGGAGCUUGGUUGCGAGAAGUUGAUUAAACCGUAUUAUGUAGAGGAAGGAGAAGUCGUAACA